GAUGAAGAAGUAGCGAAAUGCGAUAAGUAGUGUGAAUUGCAGAAUUCAGUGAAUCAUCGAAUCUUUGAACGCACAUUGCGCCCUUUGGUAUUCCAAAGGGCAUGCCUGUUCGAGCGUCAUUUGUACCCUCAAGCUUUGCUUGGUGUUGGGCGUCUUGUCUCUAGCUUUGCUGGAGACUCGCCUUAAAGUAAUUGGCAGCCGGCCUACUGGUUUCGGAGCGCAGCACAAGUCGCACUCUCUAUCAGCAAAGGUCUAGCAUCCAUUAAGCCUUUUUUUCAACUUUUGACCUCGGAUCAGGUAGGGAUACCCGCUGAACUUAAGCAUAUCAAUAAGCGGAGGA
rnacentral:misc_RNA from 1 species